AGGUGUUUAACUCAGUGGUAGAGUAUUGUGCUUACACCACAAUGGUCGGAAGUUCGAUCCUUUCAACACCUA
rnacentral:tRNA from 1 species